rnacentral:rRNA from 1 species
GUCCCUAUCUACUAUCUAGCGAAACCACAGCCAAGGGAACGGGCUUGGAAUCAUUAGCGGGGAAAGAAGACCCUGUUGAGCUUGACUCUAGUUUGGCACUGUAAGAAGACAUAAGAGGUGUAGCAUAAGUGGGAGAUGGGCUUGCUCAUCAACAAUGAAAUACCACUACUUUUAUCGUUUUCUUACUUACUUGAUUAAAUGGAGAAUGCACUUUCAUUCAUACCACUCGUACAUUGUUAACCCUCUGUACUUGUGACUAUGAUGAUCUUGUGCACUUUUCUUGAUCCAAGUGUCAUGAACCGUUGGUACGUUUGUACAAUUUUGAUGCUGUUGGGGAGCAAUCUUUGGCGGCUUGAGAUUGGAGUAUUAACAUUAUGGUUAAGACACGAUCCAAGUCAGGGACACUGCCAGGUGGGGAGUUUGACUGGGGCGGUACAUCUCUAAACAAUA